GACGAACGCUGGCGGCGUGCCUAAUACAUGCAAGUAGAACGCUGAAGGAGGAGCUUGCUUCUCUGGAGGAGUUGCGAACGGGUGAGUAACGCGUAGGUAACCUGCCUGGUAGCGGGGGAUAACUAUUGGAAACGAUAGCUAAUACCGCAUAAUAGUAGAUGUUGCAUGACAUUUGCUUAAAAGUUGCACUUUCAUCACUACCAGAUGGACCUGCGUUGUAUUAGCUAGUUGGUGGGGUAACGGCUCACCAAGGCGACGAUACAUAGCCGACCUGAGAGGGUGAUCGGCCACACUGGGAAUGAGACACGGCCCAGACUCCUACGGGAGGCAGCAGUAGGGAAUCUUCGGCAAUGGACGGAAGUCUGACCGCGCAAAGCCGCGUGAGUGAAGAAGGUUUUCGGAUCGUAAAGCUCUGUUGUAAGAGAAGAACGAGUGUGAGAGUGGAAAGUUCACACUGUGACGGUACCUUACCAGAAAGGGACGGCUAACUACGUG
rnacentral:rRNA from 1 species